rnacentral:lncRNA from 1 species
GAAGUGAAGGUCUGAUAAGAAGCUUUAUCUUUCUGGUAAUAUCAAGGGUUAGCCUAAUUUUGGAACAUCAGAAGUUCAGAACUGUUUUCUGUGCAAUAUCUUGUUUGUGUCAGCGUGUCAGAUACCUUAAAUAUCAUAUCGUGUUUGUUCUGUUGGAUGUUUCAAUCAGAGAUGCUUAUGCAGAGUUUGUUAAACCAUUUGGGUUAAUGGUAUUAUAUUAUGCUUUUGAACCUAACAUUCUGUGCGU